rnacentral:rRNA from 1 species
ACGUAGGUGCCAAGCGUUAUCCGGAAUUACUGGGCGUAAAGCGCACGCAGGCGGCUGAUUAAGUCUGACGUGAAAUCUCCUGGCUUAACUGGGAGGGGUCGUUGGAAACUGGUCGGCUUGAGGCAGUGAGAGGGGUGUGGAAUUCCCGGUGUAGUGGUGGAAUGCGUAGAGACCCGGAGGAACACCAGAGGCGAAGGCGACACCCUGGGCCGUACCUGACGCUAAGACGCGACAGCACGGGGAGCGAACGG